UUGCUUUCUUUGCUGGCGGCCGGCGCACGGGUGAGUAACACGUAUCCAACCUGCCCUUUACUCGGGGAUAGCCUUUCGAAAGAAAGAUUAAUACCCGAUAGCAUAAUGAUUCCGCAUGGUUUCAUUAUUAAAGGAUUCCGGUAAAGGAUGGGGAUGCGUUCCAUUAGGUUGUUGGUGGGGUAACGGCCCACCAAGCCUUCGAUGGAUAGGGGUUCUGAGAGGAAGGUCCCCCACAUUGGAACUGAGACACGGUCCAA
rnacentral:rRNA from 1 species